GACCCAGGUGCCGCUUCCUCUCGCCGCCGAGGGUCAGGAGCCCGGGAGCGCGACCCUCCCCCGGCCCGGCCUGGCCCGGCCUGGCCAGUCCCCGCGGUCUCUGCCCGGGCUGACGCCCAGGAAUGUGGUCGACGAGAAGCCCCAACAGCACGGCGUGGCCUCUCAGCCUCGGCUUUCAAAUGCGAGUCUGACAUAAAAGACAGAUCACAGCAUCACCAACAGCAAUGGCUAAGAUGUACAGUGUAUACACUACCCACAACCUUCACAGGCAUCCUUUCCUGCGAGCCUGGUCACCACCCUCUGCUGCAGGCUCCCUCCCCAUCCCACUGAGCCUGUGUGCCUCUGGCUCAUACAGAGCCAGUGUGCCUCUGGCCGGCCUGAGUAGGGAGAAUGCAGUGGCCUUUCCUGAACCCUUGAGUUCUCACGGAGCCCUCUCUGGCUAGGGAGGAGGAGAAGCCUUCUAGGGAAUGAGGAGAAGCGGCCCCCUGCAUCCUGCUCCUGCACUUUUCCUUCCUUCCAGCAUCCUUCACCACUGCAUCUCCACCCUUUGUGCCCAUAAACUGUGGGUCCUGUUGUCUCUGGGCCACUUUGGCCUCCCCUUCCUCAGCACAUCUCCUGGGGAAGCACGGCUAUCUGCCUUGGGAUGUAGCCACGAACCUCCUCCUUGGAGCCAAUCCUCCUGAAUGUUUGAACUGAGUUUCCAGGCAGCAGAAUGUUCCCUCCUGCCUCCUGCCGCCCCUGCGGUCCUGCCCACUCCC
rnacentral:lncRNA from 1 species